rnacentral:tRNA from 1 species
GUUUUAUUAGUAUACACAAAAGUACAUUUAAUUUCCAAUUAAAAAGAAAAAAUUUAUAAAACA